GCUGUACAUGAUGACAACUGGCUCCCUCUACCGAACAGCUAUGAGGAAAUUACCAUGUCACUUCUGACACAGC
ensembl:snoRNA Snord100 small nucleolar RNA, C/D box 100